rnacentral:tRNA from 1 species
GGAGAGGUGGCCGAGUGGUCGAAGGCACGCCCCUGCUAAGGGCGCAGACGUCAAAAGCGUCUCGUGGGUUCGAAUCCCAUCCUCUCCG